CUAGACCAGUUGCCUUUGAUCUAAUGGGAUUGGAUCAAUUUAAAUUGGAUCCUUAUCCAACUUGAAAUAAUUUUAAGUGUAGAAGGACUCCUCUGUGCCCACUAGAAGCCAUACCAAAAAAUAAAUGCUGCCCACCUCUUUUCAGCAUGUGAAGUUGAAGAGUCCUUCUUCAUGAAAGCUCUUAAUUAAAUGCAUUGCCUUAAAAGAUAAACCAGAACUCCUAUAAUUUAAUGUCAAAAUUAAGUGAAAUUUUUAUGGCACGU
rnacentral:lncRNA from 1 species